rnacentral:rRNA from 1 species
GACGAACGCUGGCGGCGUGCCUAAUACAUGCAAGUCGAACGCAGUGGGGACGGGUGAGUAACACGUGGGUAACCUCCCCUCAGAGGGGAUAACACUUGGAAACAGGUGCUAAACCGAUACUGAUGGAUGAACCCGCGGUGCAUUAGCUAGUUGGUGAGGUAACGGCUCACCAAGGCCACGAUGCAUAGCCGACCUGAGAGGGUGAUCGGCCACACUGGGACUGAGACACGGCCCAGACUCCUACGGGAGGCAGCAGUGGGGAAUCUUCCGCAAUGGACGAAAGUCUGACGGAGCAACGCCGCGUGAGUGAAGAAGGUUUUCGGGUCGUAAAACUCUGUUGUUAGAGAGGCGGUAUCUAACCAGAAAGCCACGGCUAACUACGUGCCAGCCGCCGCGGUAAUUC